UUUUUUAUUGAAAAAAAAACAAAAUUGUCUGACCUAAUUAUCUAAAAUAUCCUGUUUUAAAUACUAGGUACACAGCAUAAUCAAUUACUCAUAUCCCCUUACCAUCGUUCAGAAUGUGGCGGCCUUGCAGACUCUUUGAUUAGCAGCUGAUCAUCAUUUAGAAUGGCCAAGCCAUUUUCUUGAUGAGAAAUUCUAGUAGUUCCUCUAGUAUUAUUUCUUUACUAGGGUCACGUGACUCGAGUACAGUCGAGGGAUUCAUGAUAGGAAAUGAGAUGACUGCGUGCUGAAGAUUUUUUGACGAAUUUAAAAACUGAAUUUUUAAUUAAAGUAAAAUGAUUUUUACACAUAUAAUAGUAAUGCCUCUGUGUUUGCGAUUUCCUUAUACUAAUGCAUUUCCUUUGAUUUAAACGAAAGAUUUAAUUUUAAAUAAGAAAACGUUACUUUGCAUUAGGUUAUGUAUAAGCUUAAACUUUAGUUAUUAUGAUUAAACAUUUUAUUGUUAUUAGAAGUUUAAGUAUAUAUUCAUUGUUAUAUAUGUUUAUGAUAAUCUUAGAAUUUCAGAUAUAAUUCGUAAAUGAUUCUCCUUUUAGUUUGCACCGAGCAAGUUAACUAGAGGUAAUGAAAACGCACUAAUCUGUAACUUAAGAUAACCUAACCUAAAUUCUAUUACUUUAUUAUUAUUCACGACUGAAAUUAUCUAACUUUUUGUAGAAGAAUUUAUUUUUACACUGAAAAAAAUUUGAUAAAUCUUUAUUGAUUAAAAUAGAUAUAUUUUCCGUCUGUUUAUUCUGAAAGAAA